rnacentral:tRNA from 1 species
GCCUGGGUGGCUCAGUCGGUUGAGCAUCCGACUUCGGCUCAGGUCAUGAUCUCACGGUUCGUGGGUUCGAGCCCCACAUCCAGCU